AUUGAACGCUAGCGGGAUGCCUUACACAUGCAAGUCGAACGGCAGCACGGACUUCGGUCUGGUGGCGAGUGGCGAACGGGUGAGUAAUGUAUCGGAACGUGCCCAGUAGCGGGGGAUAACUACGCGAAAGCGUAGCUAAUACCGCAUACGCCCUUAGGGGGAAAGCAGGGGAUCGCAAGACCUUGCACUAUUGGAGCGGCCGAUAUCGGAUUAGCUAGUUGGGGAGGUAAUGGCUCACCAAGGCCGCGAUCCGUAGCUGGUUUGAGAGGACGACCAGACACACUGGGACUGAGACACGGCCCAGACUCCUACGGGAGGCAGCAGUGGGGAAUUUUGUACAAUGGGGGAAACCCUGAUCCAGCCAUCCCGCGUGUGCGAUGAAGGCCUUCGGGUUGUAAAGCACUUUUGGCAGGAAAGAAACGGCGCGUGCUAAUACCAUGCGCAACUGACGGUACCUGCAGAAUAAGCACCGGCUAACUACGUGCCAGCCGCCGCGGUAA
rnacentral:rRNA from 1 species